CGGCCCCAGGUCAGGCGGGGUUACCCGCUGAAUUUAAGCA
rnacentral:rRNA from 1 species